UAUUUCAUUUCCAAAGAAGAUUUUACACGCGCAGCAUCACAAGAUUCAUUAACGGAAAAUCCUGACAGCGAACCCGAUGCAAAGCCAAAACGAGAAAAAA